AUUGGGUAGGGGAGCGUUCUGUAAGCCGUUGAAGGUGAAUCGUAAGGUUUGCUGGAGGUAUCAGAAGUGCGAAUGCUGACAUGAGUAACGACAAAGGGGGUGAAAAACCUCCUCGCCGGAAGACCAAGGGUUCCUGUCCAACGUUAAUCGGGGCAGGGUGAGUCGACCCCUAAGGUGAGGCCGAAAGGCGUAAUCGAUGGGAAACGGGUUAAUAUUCCCGUACUUCUGACUAUUGCGAUGGGGGGACGGAGAAGGCUAGGUGGGCCAGGCGACGGUUGUCCUGGUUCAAGUGCGUAGGCUUGAGAGUUAGGUAAAUCCGGCUCUCUCUAAGGCUGAGACACGACGUCGAGCUGCUACGGCAGUGAAGUCAUUGAUGCCAUGCUUCCAGGAAAAGCCUCUAAGCUUCAGAUAGUCAGGAAUCGUACCCCAAACCGACACAGGUGGUCGGGUAGAGAAUACCAAGGCGCUUGAGAGAACUCGGGUGAAGGAACUAGGCAAAAUGGUACCGUAACUUCGGGAGAAGGUACGCUCUUGAUGGUGAAGUCCCUCGCGGAUGGAGCUGACGAGAGUCGCAGAUACCAGGUGGCUGCAACUGUUUAUUAAAAACACAGCACUGUGCAAAAUCGCAAGAUGACGUAUACGGUGUGACGCCUGCCCGGUGCCGGAAGGUUAAUUGAUGGGGUUAGCGCAAGCGAAGCUCUUGAUCGAAGCCCCGGUAAACGGCGGCCGUAACUAUAACGGUCCUAAGGUAGCGAAAUUCCUUGUCGGGUAAGUUCCGACCUGCACGAAUGGCGUAAUGAUGGCCACGCUGUCUCCACCCGAGACUCAGUGAAAUUGAAAUCGCUGUGAAGAUGCAGUGUACCCGCGGCUAGACGGAAAGACCCCGUGAACCUUUACUACAGCUUGGCACUGAACAUUGAACCUACAUGUGUAGGAUAGGUGGGAGGCUAUGAAGACGUGACGCCAGUUGCGUUGGAGCCGUCCUUGAAAUACCACCCUUGUAUGUUUGAUGUUCUAACUUAG
rnacentral:rRNA from 1 species